GAGAGGCAGAGACACAGGCAGAGGGGGAAGCAGGCUCCAUGCAGGGAGCCCGACGCGGGACCAAUCCCCGGACUCCAGGAUCACACCCUAGGCCAAAGGCAGGCGCUAAACCACUGAGCCACCCAGGGAUCCCCGCUUUCAAUUCUUUAAUCUUGGGAGAGAACCUUAAUUAUUCAGCAAAGGCCCUCCACACAAGUCACAGCUAGUGAAAAGACAAGAGAAAGGCAAGGCCAGGCUUUCCUGGAGUUAAUGUUCCUUCUAGCUGGGGAGUGUAAGUGUUCUGAAGCGAGUAUGGCCACGGGAUGCAGGGAACCAGAGGAGGGAACCCAUUUUAGAUAGGGUCGACAAGGAAGGUGACACUUGAACAAAGAUUUGGAGGAUGAGAAAGAACCAACUCUGAGAAGAGAGGGGGAAUUCUAGACGGAAGGAAGAAAAGGAAGAACAAAGGCGGACAGAUGAGGUCAGGGCUGUAGACACUUCCCUCUGGAGGUGGGCUGCGCCUAGGCAAGAAGAGGGAGUUUCCUCUCCCCAAGCCCUGCAGGAAGUCUCCCAGUACCAAGCCAUCUGCCCUUGGCUGGAGACUGAACUAUGCAGCUGUUGCUCCCCCACAGAUUCUGGGCACCACCUGCGCUGAAACAUGCCCACGGCAGUCUUUGUGGGUGAAGACCCCAGGCCUUCUGAGCCUUGGACUUAACCUUAACAGGCAGCUUCUGAAGCCCUGCCUUCUUAUACCACAUGUGUUCUGUCCUUGAUGUCUGUUCUAGGGGCUGUGCUGCGGGGCAGGAGCCAGAUUUCACCUGGACCAGACCAGCUCCAGGGGAGCCAUCACCCCUGGCCCCCAGAGAACAGAGCUGGUAGCUGGAGAGGUUUUCAAAGCCCAGAUGUCAGCUUUCACUAGGCGUUGGUGCAUUAGCCACCAACAAAUACUUGGGUCAAGUUCAAACCAGAAGAGGCUCCACCCUCCGAUUUUGGGCUUACCUCAGCAGGCAGAGGUAGGAAGGCUCCCAGAGAAAGAAUCCUACAACAUCAACCAAGAGCCCUGGGGCUUGGUUUCGUCAUGGCAAAACCAGUCUUUAGCUAAACCAGUGCGUUGGCCCUGCUUCCUCUCCGGCCCAGGGUGUGCCCAGUCUUUGCCAUAUAGUAGGUGCUGGGUAAACAAACAUUUGUUUGGUGAAUGAAUAAGGGGGUAUUAAGAACUUUCAAGCAGUGAUAGUGAGCUCCUAUUAGUGGGAGGAACAAGGAGCUGCUGGAUGGCCAUUUGCGUGGGGUCUCCUCUUAGGGAGUGCUGGGGGCCUAGGAGAACCUUGCACCGCAGGGCGUGUGAGGCUAACUCAGAAUGGUCCGGCGAGGGCGACAGGCCGCGUGCUUAGCGGCUUCGACCCCUAGACCCCUCCGCGGCUCCGGCGCCGCGGCCUUAGUUCACAGGCUCCCGCCCCGCCGCACUCCCGGCUGCGUGGCUCCCCGCACCCGGAAGGCCAGGCCCGCGCCUCCCCCUCGCGCCGCUCCGGCCCGGGCGCAGUCGGAGGCUUGCAGGAGCUGUCCCAGGCAGGCUCCCCUCUCAAGAGCGACGCGCCGCCGGAAUUGGAGCUCGCGCGUCACCGCCAGAUCUCAGCUCAGCCCUGCAGCCUUCUGGAAGACUGGGAUGUAAGGGUCCUGCCCCAGGGCUCCCUGACCUGAGGAAGAGGGCUGAUUCAUUCCUGCUUCCUGGAGUCCAGCUCCGGACUCAGGACAAGGACGCUGAUGGCACCAGGCCCCAGGAUUGUGUCCUCAGAGCUCAGAGUGCUGCCACCAAGUAUGUCACAGAGAGAGAGAGAGAGGCAGAGACACAGGCAGAGGGAGAAGCAGGCUCCAUGCACGGGGAGCCCGACGUGGGAUUCCAACCCAGGUCUCCAGGAUCGCGCCCUGGGCCAAAAGCAGGCACUACACCGCCGCGCCACCCAGGGAUCCCUGCAACACUUUUUUUAAUGCCCCUAAAUACUUAUGUCUCUCUGGCUCUCUUUGUUUUUUUUUUUUUUUUUCCCCUCUGGCUCUCUUUGAACUUGUACUUCCACCUUACUGCUACCCUCCUUAAGGCAUUAAGUAAUCUCUGACACAUACUCUAUAUUAACAAGGGUUAUGGUUUUAGCUUUGGAAAUUGUGCACUGUGACACUUUUGGAAACUGUUUUAACAAGAUGUCCAAUUGGAUUCAGCAGCCAGAGCCAAUUAAACUUUGUUGCAGGAAAAAUGUGUUUCAUAGGUUCACCUAAAACUGCCUUUCCUACCUCAGGCUUACUGGCUCCAAUCUAUGAUUUAUUAUUGUUUUAUCUAUUUAGAAAUGUUAAGUACACAGGGGCGCUUGGGUGGCUCAGUGGUUAAGUGACUGCCUUUGGCUCAGGUCAUGGUUCUGGGGUCCUGGGAUGGAGUUCCGCAUGGGGGGGGGUGUCCCUGCUCAGCAGGGAGUCUGCUGUUCCCUCUGCUUCUGCUCCUCCUCCCUGCUCAUGCCCUUGCUCUCUAUCUCUCUCAAAUAAAUAAUCUUAAAUAUAUUAAGUAGGGACACCUAGGUGGCUCAGCAGUUGAGCACCUGCCUUUGGCUCAGGGCGUGAUCCCGGAUUCCAGGGAUUGAGUCCCACAUUGGGCUCCUUACAUGGAGCCUGCUUCUCCUUCUGCCUAGGUCUCUGCCUCUCUCUCUCUGUAUGUCUCUCAUGAAUAAAUAAAUAAAAUCUUUAAAAAAAAUUAAGUACACAGAUACUAUCUUGUAAAAUUUAAACAGUACUGUUAAAGUCCUGUGGACCGUCACUUCCCAUCCUAGGUCUGCCCCGAAGCUGACUACUGGUUUUCUCUCUUAUAUAUAUUCAUGUGCAAAAUACAAAGACUCUAGUUUAUAUGUCUGUAUACAUACAUAGAUAUGUUAAUGCACAUUUAUGUAUACAUGCCACACAUAUAGACUUAAUAUGUCUCUAUAUACAUCUCUAUUUAAUAUAUGUGUAUACAUAGUAUAUACAUAUAUAGAUAUAGAAAUGUAUUAUUAUUAUUAUUUUUUAAGAUUUUAUUUUAUUUACUCAUGAGAGAUACAGAGUGCGAAAGAGAGGCAGAGACACAGGCAGAGGAAGAAGCAGGCUCCAUGCAGGGAGCCCGAUGCAGGACUCGAUCCCAGGUCUCCAGGAUCAUGCCCUGGGCUGCAGGCGGCGCUAAACCGCUGCGCCACCGGGGCUGCCCCGAAAUGUAUUAUUUUAGUAGUUAUGGGAUUUUUUUUUCCAUAAAACAUAUUAUACUAGAUAUAUUGUUUUGCUUGCUUUUCUCAUUCAGAAAUAGGAUUGGAGAUCUAUUUUGGUGGGGUUUUUUUUUUUGUUUUUUUUUUUUCGAUUUUAUUUAUUUAUUCAUGAUAGACAUAGAGAGGAGAGGCAGAGGGAGAAGCAGGCUCCAUGCUGGGAGCCCGACAUGGGACUCGAUCCCGAGACUCCAGGAUCACGCCCUGGGCCAAAGGCAGGCACUGAACCGCUGAGCCACACAGGGAUCCCAGAGAUCUAUUUUGGUACAUGAGACCUACCUUACUCUAAUUGCUCACAUGGCAACACAAACUAUAAAAUGCCUAGGAAUAAAUUUAAGAAAUAUGUGAGACUUUACACAGAAAGUUAUUAAAGAUUUUGUUAUAGGGACACCUGGGUGGCUCAGCAAUUAAGCCUCUGCCUUCAGCUCAGGGGAUGAUCCUGGAGUUCCGGGAUCGAAUCCCACAUUGGGCUCCCUGCAUGGAGCCUGCUUCUCCCUCCGCCUAUGUCUCUGCCUCUGUGUGUGUGUGUGUGUGUCUCUCAUGAAUAAAUAAAUAAAAUAUAUUUUUUAAAAAAGAUUUUGUUAUAAAAAAUUAAAAGGUUGUAAUAUUUACAGCCCUGUAAUACGUAUACAUUCUAUAAGCAAUGGAAUGCAUAAAGGAAAAAGUAGAAAUACACACGCUUCCAAGGCAGCAGCAUUGUGUUUUUCCAGGUGGCUUCUCUACCUUUCUAAACAUAUUUCUGCAAUUUGGCUUGGGGCUUGAGUUACGAUGCCUCCUUCCGAAGAAUCAAACACAUCCAUAAAUAUCCCUGACGCAGCGUGGGCUGCGCCAAGUGCUACAGAUGAGCCAGCCGGUGCUCUGGAAAUUUGCGUCAGGGAGACAGUCAGAGCACAGGGGUGGGGCUUUAAUUAGGCCUGGAAGGAAGAGGAGGCUGAUAAAUUGGACAGGGUAUUGCAGGCAGAAGACUUUGUCUGGAGGUGGGAUGAUGUUUCUGCAUGUAGAACCCUGUCUAGGGUGAGACUGAAGGCCCAGGGAGAGGAAUGUGUGGUUGAGCCAGGCAAGGGCAGGCAUGGCUGGUGUCUUGGCUCCAGCCUUGUGGAGAGCCAAGGUGAGGGGGUCGGGGGACACACCCAGACCUGUGGCUCAAGUUCCAGUUCCAUCAAACAGGAAGGGUACAGGCGGUGAACUUCCUGUGCCCCCACAGAAUCGGGGCCAUGGAGGAGCAUCUCUUUGCUGCAGAGAGGAGUUCUGUACCCAGAAAGGGUCUUUCCAGAGUGCUGGAGCUGGGAACAUGCUUGGUGCAGGAAUGGGAAGUACUCAUGCUACAAACCCUGACCACACCAGGGUACCCUGCAGGCAGCCACCAGAACACAGUGGAAGCUGGGGAGGUAGAUCUGCCUCCUUGGUCUAUUUCUCAUCUCAUCAGUUGGCAAGUGGAUGUGUUCAUCCAGCAUCAUGAGUUCCAGUUCUGGGACCCCCGGGAAUCCCUUUGAGGAGCGCACACUCUCUAAGGAUCCAGUGCCUCUGCUGCAGGCACACAGUGUGGGGAGGGUGACACCUGCUACCCAGUGUGAGGCAGGACCUUCAUCCCCUCAGCAGAGUGCUUGGCGGGGGAAACCAAGAGAGCAGGGCCUGGCUCCCAAGCCCCUCAGAGGGAAUAAAAGCAGCAGGUCUAGAAUUCAGAUUUCCUACCCCUCAGAGUUAGGUCAGGUCUAUAGCUGGUUUUUAUUCCCCCUCCAGAAUCUCACCCAGAUCCCUUUAUUACUUGCCCAAAGUCACCCAGCUAAGGCGUGUCAGCAUUCAUGUGCUAGGCCAAUGUCUAGGUCUAGCAAAUCUUCAGUUUCACCUGAAACUCCUACCCCACCUCAAAAGAACCUAAGUAAAAAUAGGUAUCCAUUGUAACAUGUAACUAAAAAACUCAGGCGGUCUCUUCUCUGGCAUGGCUGGGCCAGGUGUUCUCCAUGGCUCUCUACCUUGAGGCUCUGCUACACUCUGACAUGCCUUCCUUCCCAGACAGGCCUUCUCAAAGUGGUUUAUAUCGUACGUAAUAAAUAGGAAAUACUUGUUAAACUGACUUAACAAGUAUUUAAAAAUUGACAGUACAGGGGUACCUGGGUGGCUUAAUAGGUGAAGCCUCUGCCUUCUGUUCAGAAUCCUAUCAGGCUCCCUGCUAAACGGGGAGCCUGCCUCUCCCUCUGCCUGCCUUCUACCUGUGUCUCUCUCUCAAAAUUUUAAAAAUAAAUUAAGUAAAUAAAAUCUUUUUUUAAAAUAUUUUAUUUAUUUAUUCAUGAGAGACACACACACACACACAGAGGUAGAGAAACAGGCAGAGGGAGAAGCAGACUCCACGCAGGAAGCCUGAUGUGGGAUCUAAUCCCGGGUCUCCUGGGCUGAAGGUGGCGCUAAACUGCUGAGCCACCUGGGCUGCCCAAUAAAAUCUUUUUUUAAAAAAAUUGACAGUUGACUGUGAGUGUACUCAUGCUGUGGAACUCCAGAGCUGGAAGAGGUUCCAGGGAGCUAUUUCCAAGUUAUCCAAAUACUAGAUUCAUCGGACUACCAUGAAACCAGAAGGGCUGCUACAAUAGAAUCUCAUAGACUGCAUGGCUCAAACAGCAAAAAUUUAUUCCUCACAGUUUUGGAGAUAAAGCCCAAGCAAGAUCUGGGUGCCAGUACUGUGGGAUUCUGGUGGGAACCCUUUUCCAGGCUGCAGCCUGCCAGCUUUUCACUGUGUCGUCACGUGGCAGGAGAGCCUUUUGCAAUCUCUUUAUAAGGGCACUAAUCCCAUUCAUGAGGGCUUCACUCUUCUGAGAUGAGGACCCCUGUCCUCCUUACAGGUGAGGACCCCGCCCUCCCGGUGGGGGCAAGGGACGUCUUCUCAAGACCCCCGGUCGACGGCCCACCAGCGCGUCCACUUAAGCCAAUGCCAACCUAAUACAGAUUGGAAUUCCUUCAGGUUAGAGCUCUCAGAAAUAUGCGCGCAAAAGGUGGAAAAAGUUGAGUGCACUCACCACGCGUGAAACCCUCCAGAUGGGGUCCUGGAGGUUUCUUGGAUCCCGGACGAGCCCCCAAAUGUUGUGCCCAAGAUUGCGAAUCUGAGAAACCACCAAGGAGCCGACACCGAUGCAAACAUACGAGGGUUUAUUUACAAGCUCAAGCUUGGGUCCAAGUAUACCCGACACAGCGGAGCAGGGACUUGGACCUAAAGAGGAUUUUUUAAAAGAUUUUAUUUAUUUAUUCAUGAGAGACACACCGAGAGAGGCUGAGACAUAGGAAGGGGGAGAAGAAGCAGGCUCCUUGCAGAGAGCCUGAUGUGGGACUCCAUCCCAAGACCCCAGGAUCAUGCCCUGAGCCAAAGGCAGAUGCUCAACCACUGAGCCACCCACGCAUCCCUAGUAUGCAACUUAAUGAGAUUAACUUUUUUUCAUUCAGCAUAACUGCCUUUUUAAAAAAAGAUUUUAUUUAUUUAUUCAUGAGAGACACAGAGAGAGAGAGAGAGAGAGAGAAAGGCAUAGACACAGGCAGAGGGAGAAGCAGGCUCCAUGCAGGGAGCCUGACGUGGGUUCGAUUCCGGGUCUCCAGGACCACACCCUGGGCUGAAGGCAGUGCCAAACUGCUGAGCCACCUGGGCUGCCCAAGCAUAACUGCCUUGAGAUCCAUUUAAGAUAUUUUGUUCCCGGGAUCCCUGGGUGGCUCAGCGGUUUAGUGCCUGCCUUUGGCCCAGGAUGUGGUCCUGGAGACCCGGGAUCGAGUCCCACAUCAGGAUCCCUGCAUGGAGCCUGCUUCUCCCUCUGCCGGUGUCUCUGCCUCUCUUCUCUCUCUGUGUCUCUCAUGAAUAAAUAAAUAAAACUUAAAAAAAAAAAAAAGAUGUUUUGUUCCUUUUCAUUGCCGAGUAAUUGUCCAUGGUGUGGACAUACUUACCAUUCACUCACUGAAAGAUAUCUGGAUUGUUUCCACUUGACUAUUAUAAAUAAGCUGCUAUGAACAUUCAUGCAUAUAUAUAUAUAAAAUAUUUUAUUAAUUUAUUCGUGAGAAGCACACACACACACACACACACACACACACACACAAACACAGAGAGAGGGGCAGAGACACAGGCGAGGGAGAAGCAGGCUCCAUGCAGGGAGCCUGAUGUGGGACUCGAUCCCAGGUCUCCAGGAUCGGGCCCUGGGCUGAAGGUGGCACCAAAUCGCCGAGCCACCCGGGCGGCCCUCAUGCACAUAUAUUUUUUUAAGAUUUUAUUUAUUUAUUUUUAAUUUUUUUAAAUUUUUAUUUAUUUAUGAUAGUCACACACAGAGAGAGAGGCAGAGAAGCAGGCUCCAUGCACCGGGAGCCGGACGUGGGACCCAAUCCCAGGUCUCCAGGAUCCUGCCCUGGGCCAAAGUCAGGCGCCAAACCGCUGCGCCACCCAGGGAUCCCAGAUUUUAUUUAUUUAUUCAUGAGAGACACAGAGAGAGGCAGAGAUACAGGCAGAGGGAGAAGCAAGCUCCAUGCAGGAAGCUCAAUGCAGGACUCAAUCCAGGGACCUUGGGAUCAUGCCCUGAGCCAAAGGCAGAUAGAUGCUCAACCACUGAGCCACCCAGGCAUCCCCAAUGCACAUAUUAUUGAGUGGAUAUAUGUUUUCAUUUCUCUGGAAUAUGUGCGCAGGAGUGUGAUUGCUGGGUUGUAUGGUAGGCAUAUGUUUAGUUUUAAGAGAAACUGCCAAAUGUUUUUCCAGAGCAGCUGUACCAUUUACAUUUCCACCAACAGAGCACCAGGGUUGGUUUCUCUCAUCACCCACCCCUCCACAGACAGAUUAUACAUCUAUUUGUCUCUAUUUAUUAGGCCAUAAUGAGCCUGACAAGUGUAAGAACUGGUCACUAUCCCUGUAUGAGACACUCAUAUUAAUGGGACACAGGAAGAAGCAUGCAAAUAGGCCCUUCCUUUCAGCAGGCUGAAAAACAGCAAUUUCCUUUCAGUCCAUCCCUAUCCCCAGCCUCCUGAGGUCAUCAUCCCAUGUCUUCAUGCAAUUCCUCUGAAAUGUCUGUUGUGUUCUUUGCUCUUUACCUUCUAGCUAAUGUUACCGCACGGUGGUAUACACUUAGGGGUUCUCUUCUGGCUUUCAGAAUUUCAAGAGGCAUGUGUGGUUUGUAGAGGGUUAGACUCAUCUUGUAUUGAGCUAUAGAGUAUUGUCCAUGGAUAUCUGGCAGGUUGUACAAGAUUGACUUGAAAUGAGGGGCAGGUAUCCAUGAGAGAUGGUCAAGGAUAUUUCACAGGACCCAGUCCUUGUUGGGAAGUAGGUCUUUCUCUAGAUUUCCUUCCUAGACCCAGGGUCUGGCUAGAGUGAGGUAUUGGUACAGAGUCCACUAUUGACCUGGCUGCCCCAAACUCAGGAUAAGUGAAGAGCCACUUGGAAGAGAAAGAAGUCUUUGAUGGGGCCAGCAACAUAUCCUCCAGGGCUUGAAAGAAUAGCUAGAAGGAAUAUGAGCUGAGACCAUCACCUAUCACCUCUAAUAAUAGAGAUCAGAACAGGAGACCACCUAUAAUUCUGAAAGACAAAAUUAAUUCUAUUUAAGUUUGUAGGGUCAGUGAUCCCAUAAGUCCAAGAAGGGAGUGGUUGCUGAGCCCCUUCUGGAUACUAGGAACACACAGGCUCUAAUUCUGCUGUCUACCACCAGAAACUUACAGCAACACUUAAACUGAUACACUCUUAAGUAAGAUACAGGCAUAGAGGGGGACACUUGGGUGGCUCAGUCGAUUAAGCAUCUGCCUUCAGCUCAGGUCGUGAUGCCAGGGUCCUGGGAUUGAACCCCUCAUCAGGUUCCCUGCUCGGUGGGGAGUCUGCUUCUUCCUCUGCCUCUGCUGCUCCCUCUGCUUGUGCUUGCUCUCCCUGUCAAGUAAAUUUAAAUUUUUUUUUAAUUUUUUAUUUAUUUAUUUAUGAUAGUCACACAGAGAGAGAGAGAGAGGCAGAGACACAGGCAGAGGGAGAAGCAGGCCCCAUGCAGGGAGCCUGACAUGGGAUUUGAUCCCGGGUCUCCAGGAUCAGGCCCCGGGCCGAAGGCAGACGCUCAACCACUGAGCAACCCAGGCGCCCCUCUGCCUUUUCUUCUAGGAGUUUUAUAGCUUUAAGUUAUAUACUUCAGUCUAUGAUCCAUUCUGAGUUACUGCGGUAUAUGAUCAGAUAUAUGGAAUGAAGUAUGUAUUUUUUGCAUCUGGGUGUCUAAUUGUUCCAGAACUAUUUGUUGAAAAGACUGCUGCAGGCAGCCCUGGUGGCUCAGUGGUUUAGCGCCGCCUUCAGUCCAGGGUGUGAUUCUGGAGACUUGGGAUCGAGUCCCACGUCAGGCUCCCUGCAUGGAGCCUGCUUCUCCCUCUGCCUGUGUCUCUGCCUCUCUCUCUCUCUGUGUCUCUCAUGAAUAAAUAAAUAAAAUCUUAAAAAGAAAACCCACAACUUUACAAGAUAUAAUUUACAUACUAUAAAUGGACCCAUUUUAAGUGUACAGUUCAAUGAGUUUUGACAAACAUAAAACUACAACCAUCAUGAAAAUUUCUGUUGCCCCACAGAUUCUCUGUAUCUCUUUGAUGUCAGUUCAUCCACUAUCUCCCAGUCAGACAACUUUAGAUCUGCUUUCUGUUACUUUAAAUUAGUUGUGGCUUUCUAGAAUAUCAUUUAAAUGGAUCAUACAAAAAAUAAAUAAAUAAAUAAAUGGAUCAUACAAACCUAUGCAAGUCUUUUGCAUAUGCCUUCUUUUUCUCAAGGUAUUUUUGAGAUUUAUCCAUGUCUUUAUGUGUUUUAGCAUUUUUUCCCACUUUGUUGUUGAGUAAUAUUCCAUUUCAUGGAUAUAUAAUUGUUUAUCCAUUCCUCUGUGAUGGAGAUUUAGAGUAUUUUCAGUUGGUGGUUAUUCUGAAUAAAACUGUCCUGAUCAUUCUUCUACAAGUCUUUGUAUGGAAAAAAGGGGGAGCAUCUGCCUUCGGCUCAGGACAUGAUCUCAAGGUCCUGGGAUCGAGCCCCACAUUGGGCUCCCUGUUCCAUAAGGAGCCUGAUUCUCCCUCUGCCUCUGCUAUUCCUCAGCUUGUCCUCUCUCACUCUCUCUGUCAAAUAAAUAAAAUAAUUAUUUGGGCCACACCAAGAGGGGCUUCCCAAAUUAUUUUUAUAAAAUAAAAAUCUUUAAAAAAAAAAGUCUUUGUAUGGAUUUAUGUUUUCAUUUCUCUUGGGUGAAUACCUAGAAGUACAACUGCUAAAUCAUAUGGUAAGUAUAUGUUUAUAAGAAACUCCAAACUUGGGGCACCUGAGUGGCUCAGUCGGUUAGGCAUGUGCCUUCAGCUUAGGUCAUGAUUCCAGGGUCCUUGGAUAGAGCCUCAAGUUGGCCUCCCUGCUCAGCGGAGAGUCUGCUUUUCCCUCUGCUGCCACCCCAGCUCUCUCAUCUAUGCUCUCUCAAAUAAAUAAAAUAUUUUUUAAAAAAGAAACGGCAAACUUGUUCCCCAUUAUAUCAUUUUACAGUGGCACCAGCAGUGCACGAGAGUUCUUGUUGCUCCACAUCCCUCCCUAUACUUGAUAGCAUUCAGAAAUUUAAGUAAUCUCUACACCCAACAUGGGGCUCAAACUCACAACCCUAAGAUCAAGAGUCACAUGCUCCACUGAGGCAAGCAGGCACGCUUGUACAAGUUUUAUUUUAUUUUAUUUUUUAUUUUUUUUUUACAAGUUUUAUUUUAAAUGAGUACCCUCAAGAUCCCUCCCCACCAUUCCAGAAAUCCCUUGGGUAUUCACAGGGGAGAGAGACAUUUGUUUGUUUUCUUUUUAGAUUUUAUUUAUUUAUUUAUUCAUGAGAGACACACAGAGAGAAGCAGAGACAUAGAAGGAGAAGCAGGCUCCCCAUGGGGAGCCCGAUGAGGGACUUAAUCCUGGGAUCCCAGGAUCAUGACCUGAGUCAAAGGCGGAUGCUCAACCACUGAGCCACACAAGCGUCCCAAGACAUUUAGUUUCAAAACUAUAGAAGCUUGAAAAGGCUGAUAAUAUACAAUUAGAAUGGUAAUUCUUUUAUUUUUUUUAAGAUUUUAUUUAUUCAUGAGACACACAGAAAGAGGGAGGCAGAGACACAGGCAGAGGGAGAAGCAGGCUCCAUGCAGGGAGCCCGAUGUGGGACUUGAUCCUGGGACUUGAUCCUGGGACUCCAGGAUCACGCCCUGGGACGGAAGGCAGGCGCUAAACCACUGAGCCACCCAGGGAUCCCUAGAAUGAUAAUUUAAAAGCAUGUUUUGAAAAUGAAGAGUCAGAAUAAAUAAGGUAAGAUGAAAGUGCUGAAUUAGAUUUACAUUUGAGAGGAAAGGAAGUUACUAUAUUGUUCAAAAGAACAAGGAGAACUAUGACAUAAGUCUGUAAAGAAUUCACGGUUUAAGGGAAUAAAAUACCUAAGAUCCUUUCUGUUGGGUACUUUUUACAGGCUGAAUUGUGCCUCCUCGCCCCACAUUCAUAGGUUGAAGUCUAAAUCCUCCGUACCUAAGAAUGUCCUGUAUUUGGAGAUAGGGGUGAUUAAAUUAAUAUGAAGCCAUUAGGAUGAGGCCCUAAUUUAACACAAUUAAAGGGGCAGCAAGGGGUGCUUGGGUAGCUCAGUCAGUUAAGUGUCUGCCUUCAGCUCAGGUCAUCAUCCCAAGGGUCCUGGCAUUAAGCUCUGGGUUGGGCUCCCUGAUCAGUGGGCAGUCUGCUUCUGCCUCUCUCUCUGCCCCCCACCCCCGCUUGUAUGUUCUCUCUCUUCUCUCAAAUGAAUAAAUAAAAUAUUAAAAAAAAAAAAAAACAACAACCAGGGUGUCUGGGUGGCUCAGUUGGUUAAGCAUCUGCCUUUGGUUCAGAUCAUGAUCCCAGUGUCUUGGGAUUAAGCCCCAUGUUAGGCUUCUCUCAGCAGGGAGUUUGUUUCUUCCUCUGCCCCUCCCCUCACUCAUACUUGUGCUUGCUUUCUCUCUGAAAUAAAUAAAAUUAAAUUUUAAAAAUUUUUUAAAAAGGCAGCAAGAGGGCAACCAUCUGUAAGAUAAGA